GAAUUAUGUCAGCAGGAGGAUCUGUGUUCUGAAAGGUUCUUCAGUGAACAUUUCAAGUAAAUACUCUCAUCCCGCCUCAAAGAAGCCAAAGUCUAAAUUGUGGUAUAAAGUGAAAAGAAGUGGGAAGAAAGAAGUUGAAGAGCUGAUGGGGGCUGUGGAGUAUCAUGAUGACACGAAGGAUCAUCACAUCCUGAGUAUCAACAACCUGAGAAAGAGUGACUCAGCAGAAUACACAUUCAGACUGGAGCAACAAGAUGGAACAUGGAAACAGUCUGACUUUUCUGGAGUGACUUUGGUUGUCACAGGCCUGAAAGUGAAGAUCCAUCCUGCAGUGGUGAUAGAGGGCCAGAGAGUCACACUGACCUGCAGUACCAGCUGCCCUCUGGCUGACAACACAACCUACAUCUGGUACUUGAACAGUCGACCUUUGACCCUGCCAGAGAACCAAAACAAACACCUGGUUCUAGACCCAGUCAGCAUGCAGGAAACUACUGCUGUGCAGUCGAAACUGGCAGAAAAUACAUUAACUCCACUGAAAGACCUCUGACUGUUAUAAAUAUUAAAGGGAAACAUACAGCAGCAGCAGCUGCAGCAGUCUGUGCUGCUCUCCUGUUGAUCUUACUUCUGGUUGUCUUCUUAUGGGUUAGAAGAAAGAGGACUUCAUGUAAAUCUACUAAAACUGAAGCAACGGCCAACAUUGAGCAGCUGAUCCCUGGUCCUGUGUAUGAAAACAUCUCAGCUCAACCUGCAGAGCCGGAAGAACUUCACUAUAGCAGAGUCCACUUCUCUAAGACCCAGACUGAUCCUCUUUACUCCACCGUCCAACCACAUCAGCCUCAAGAACAGGAGCAUGUCACUUAUGCUGCCGUCAACUUCAGAUCCAAAAUGACUUCUGAGUGAACAUUUCAUUACAUUCAUCUUGAUCAUUGGUACUUUCCAUUCCAGUAUUUCCAACAAUCCCACAAUACACAGAGGUGUGUUGUGGGCAAGAUUUCUGCCAAAUAUGAAGUACUUUUAACAUUACAAGUCUUCUGCACCACCAUUUCACUUCACUCCAUGCAAGACAGCCAAUCAUAUACAAAGACAUAUCAACCAAUGAGGUGUUACU